UGUGCAAAGGUAGCAUAAUCAUUAGUCUUAUAAUUCAAGACUGGAAUGAAUGGUUUAACCAAAGUAAACUUGUCUUUUAAUGAUAUUUUGAAUUUUAUAUUUUAGUAAUAAAGCUAAAAUUAAUAUGAGGGACGAGAAGACCCUAUCAAGUUUUACAAAUUUAUAUUAUUUAUAUUUUAAUAAAUUAUUUGUUUAGCUGGGGCAGCUUAUAGAAUAAAUUCUAUUUUUUUAUUGUAAUUUUAAAUUUUGUUUUACCCUGAAUUUUAGAAUUAAAAAUAAAUUACUGUAGGGAUAACAGCAUAAUUUCUUUAUAGAGUUCUUAUCACAAAAGAAGUUUGUGACCUCGAUGUUGGAUUAAGAGACCCGUUUAACGCAAAAGUUAAAUUAGGAAGUCUGUUCGACUUUUAAAUUCUUCCAUGAUCUGAGUUCA
rnacentral:rRNA from 1 species